GAUGAACGCUGGCGGCGUGCCUAAUACAUGCAAGUCGAACGAACAGACGAGGAGCUUGCUCCUCUGACGUUAGCGGCGGACGGGUGAGUAACACGUGGAUAACCUACCUAUAAGACUGGGAUAACUUCGGGAAACCGGAGCUAAUACCGGAUAAUAUAUUGAACCGCAUGGUUCAAUAGUGAAAGACGGUUUUGCUGUCACUUAUGGAUGGAUCCGCGCCGCAUUAGCUAGUUGGUAAGGUAACGGCUUACCAAGGCGACGAUGCGUAGCCGACCUGAGAGGGUGAUCGGCCACACUGGAACUGAGACACGGUCCAGACUCCUACGGGAGGCAGCAGUAGGGAAUCUUCCGCAAUGGGCGAAAGCCUGACGGAGCAACGCCGCGUGAGUGAUGAAGGUCUUCGGAUCGUAAAACUCUGUUAUUAGGGAAGAACAAAUGUGUAAGUAACUAUGCACGUCUUGACGGUACCUAAUCAGAAAGCCACGGCUAACUACGUG
rnacentral:rRNA from 1 species